CGGCUAAAGCAACGAGCUUAUACCUCGUAGAGCGAUGGUUCGAGUCCAUCCACGCCCA
rnacentral:tRNA from 1 species